rnacentral:hammerhead_ribozyme from 1 species
AUCCAGCAGACGAAUUCCAAAUAGAACAAAACGCGCGUCCUGGAU